GAUCAGUAGGAAUAUAUUCAAAGCUUCCAUUGCUUCCAGAAGAGGGAGAGGUUACAAAUGGCCCGCCAGGUGUACUGGGGGUCAACAUGAAAGAAGUGCCACACAAUGGAGGUCUUGGCUCUAGUACUAGGUAGAUAGAUCUGUUUUUCUAUAUUGCUCUCAAAAAGACUUUCUUCAUCCUGCUCAGGGUCAUUGGAAGCUAACAAAGCAGGGGCAUCUGCAACAGGCCUCCCAGAUCCCAAAUCCUUACUAAACUUUUUGGCAAGAAUCA
rnacentral:lncRNA from 10 species